ACUUAAAUAAUUUAAAUAUAAAAUGUUGAUUUGUGGUGUCAAAAAUGUAAUUUUUUUUUACUUUAAGUU
rnacentral:tRNA from 1 species